AAUCAAGUGCCUUAAGGGUGUUCGGUGGAUGCCUUGGCGCUGAGAGGCGAUGAAGGACGUGCUACGCUGCGAUAAGCCGUGGGGAGCUGCGAAGAAGCUUUGAUCCGCGGAUUUCCGAAUGGGGAAACCCACCUUCGAUAGCCGGAACUCCAAGACCUUGUGUCUUGGUGUUCGACCAGAAAUGAUCGGGACCAUGACCGCGAGGUUUUGGAUUUCCGGUUAUCAAGAGAAGGUAUGAGACUUCUGAAUACAUAGGAGGUUUCAAGCAAACCCAGGGAACUGAAACAUCUAAGUACCUGGAGGAAAGGACAUCAACAGAGACUCCGUUAGUAGUGGCGAGCGAACGCGGACCAGGCC
rnacentral:rRNA from 3 species